GGCGAACUGCUCAGUAACACGUGGACAACCUGCCCUUAGGUUGGGUAUAAACCCGGGAAACUGGGUAUAAUACCCGAUAGGUCUCGAUUGCUGGAAUGCAUCGAGAUUUAAAGCUCCGGCGCCUAAGGAUGGGUCUGCGGCCUAUCAGGUAGUAGUGGGUGUAGCGUACCUACUAGCCUACGACGGGUACGGGUUGUGAGAGCAAGAGCCCGGAGAUGGAUUCUGAGACACGAAUCCAGGCCCUACGGGGUGCAGCAGGCGCGAAAACUUUACAAUGCUGGCAACAGCGAUAAGGGAACCUCGAGUGCCAGGUUACAAAUCUGGCUGUCGAGAUGCCUAAAAAGCAUUUCAUAGCAAGGGCCGGGCAAGACCGGUGCCAGCCGCCGCGGUAACACCGGCGGCUCGAGUGGUAACCGUUAUUAUUGGGUCUAAAGGGUCUGUAGCCGGCCGGAUAAGUCUCUUGAGAAAUCUGGCAGCUUAACUGUCAGGCUUUCAGGAGAUACUGUCUGGCUCGAGGCCGGGAGAGGUGAGAGGUACUUCAGGGGUAGGGGUGAAAUCUUGUAAUCCUUGAAGGACCACCAGUGGCGAAGGCGUCUCACCAGAACGGACCUGACGGCAAGGGACGAAAGCUAGGGGCACGAACCGGAUUAGAUACCCGGGUAGUCCUAGCCGUAAACGAUACUCGCUAGGUGUCGGCCACGGUGCGACCGUUGUCGGUGCCGUAGGGAAGCCGUGAAGCGAGCCACCUGGGAAGUACGGCCGCAAGGCUGAAACUUAAAGGAAUUGGCGGGGGAGCACCACAACGGGUGGAGC
rnacentral:rRNA from 1 species